rnacentral:tRNA from 1 species
GUAGCUGUAACUAUAGAUAAUACUCAUAAUAUUCAUAUAGUUAACUAAUAUAUGCUACGGGUUCAACUCCCGCCAGCUCCACCA